UCAAACUUGGUCAUUUAGAGGAAGUAAAAGUCGUAACAAGGUUUCCGUAGGUGAACCUGCGGAAGGAUCAUUACUGAAUUAAUGGACAGGGUUGUCGCUGGCCUUUAUUGGCAUGUGCACGCCUUGCUCAUCCCAAUUCUUAUACCUCUGUGCACCUUACAUCGGAUGGUCGUGUCUGCCCCACCUUGCGGUGGAAGCAGCAUAGCUGUCCAAUGCAUUAUUUUACACGCUUUGGUAAUGAAUGUCUACUGCAUACUAUGCAUUAAAUACAACUUUUAGCAACGGAUCUCUUGGCUCUCGCAUCGAUGAAGAACGCAGC
rnacentral:misc_RNA from 1 species